rnacentral:rRNA from 1 species
AACAGAAAGUAGCUUGCUACUUUGCUGACGAGCGGCGGACGGGUGAGUAAUGCUUGGGAACAUGCCUUGAGGUGGGGGACAACAGUUGGAAACGACUGCUAAUACCGCAUAAUGUCUACGGACCAAAGGGGGCUUCGGCUCUCGCCUUUAGAUUGGCCCAAGUGGGAUUAGCUAGUUGGUGAGGUAAUGGCUCACCAAGGCAACGAUCCCUAGCUGGUUUGAGAGGAUGAUCAGCCACACUGGAACUGAGACACGGUCCAGACUCCUACGGGAGGCAGCAGUGGGGAAUAUUGCACAAUGGGCGCAAGCCUGAUGCAGCCAUGCCGCGUGUGUGAAGAAGGCCUUCGGGUUGUAAAGCACUUUCAGUCAGGAGGAAAGGUUAGUAGUUAAUACCUGCUAGCUGUGACGUUACUGACAGAAGAAGCACCGGCUAACUCCGUGCCAGCAGCCGCGGUAAUACGGAGGGUGCGAGCGUUAAUCGGAAUUACUGGGCGUAAAGCGUACGCAGGCGGUUUGUUAAGCGAGAUGUGAAAGCCCCGGGCUCAACCUGGGAACUGCAUUUCGAACUGGCAAACUAGAGUGUGAUAGAGGGUGGUAGAAUUUCAGGUGUAGCGGUGAAAUGCGUAGAGAUCUGAAGGAAUACCGAUGGCGAAGGCAGCCACCUGGGUCAACACUGACGCUCAUGUACGAAAGCGUGGGG